CAGCAGCCGCGGUAAUACGGAGGGUGCAAGCGUUAAUCGGAAUUACUGGGCGUAAAGCGCACGCAGGCGGUCUGUCAAGUCGGAUGUGAAAUCCCCGGGCUCAACCUGGGAACUGCAUUCGAAACUGGCAGGCUAGAGUCUUGUAGAGGGGGGUAGAAUUCCAGGUGUAGCGGUGAAAUGCGUAGAGAUCUGGAGGAAUACCGGUGGCGAAGGCGGCCCCCUGGACAAAGACUGACGCUCAGGUGCGAAAGCGUGGGGAGCAAACAGGAUUAGAUACCCGGGUAGUCCCUGUCUCUUAUAA
rnacentral:rRNA from 1 species